rnacentral:rRNA from 1 species
GACGUAGGGGGCGAGCGUUGUCCGGAUUUAUUGGGCGUAAAGCGUGCGUAGGCGGCUGCGCAAGUCGGGUGUGAAACCCCGGGGCUCAACCCCGGAACUGCAUCCGAUACUGCGUGGCUAGAGGUAGGUAGGGGAGAUCGGAAUUCCUGGUGUAGCGGUGAAAUGCGCAGAUAUCAGGAGGAACACCGGUGACGAAGGCGGAUCUCUGGGCCUUACCUGACGCUCAGACACGAAAGCUAGGGGAGCGAACAGG